rnacentral:pre_miRNA from 1 species
UAAAUACUCCAUCCGUCCCAAAAUUCUUGUCUUAGAUUUUUCUAAAUACGGAUGUAUCUAGUUACAUUUUAGUAUUAGAUACAUCCGUAUCUAGACAAAUCUAAGACAAGAAUUGUGGGACGGAGGGAGUAUAAG